rnacentral:rRNA from 1 species
GACUGAACGCUGGCGGCAGGCCUAACACAUGCAAGUCGAGCGGAUGAAGGGAGCUUGCUCCUGGAUUCAGCGGCGGACGGGUGAGUAAUGCCUAGGAAUCUGCCUGGUAGUGGGGGAUAACGUCCGGAAACGGGCGCUAAUACCGCAUACGUCCUGAGGGAGAAAGUGGGGGAUCUUCGGACCUCACGCUAUCAGAUGAGCCUAGGUCGGAUUAGCUAGUUGGUGGGGUAAAGGCCUACCAAGGCGACGAUCCGUAACUGGUCUGAGAGGAUGAUCAGUCACACUGGAACUGAGACACGGUCCAGACUCCUACGGGAGGCAGCAGUGGGGAAUAUUGGACAAUGGGCGAAAGCCUGAUCCAGCCAUGCCGCGUGUGUGAAGAAGGUCUUCGGAUUGUAAAGCACUUUAAGUUGGGAGGAAGGGCAGUAAGUUAAUACCUUGCUGUUUUGACGUUACCAACAGAAUAAGCACCGGCUAACUUCGUG